rnacentral:rRNA from 1 species
AACGAACGCUGGCGGUAUGCUUAACACAUGCAAGUCGAACGAACAAAAUUGGGGCUUGCUCCAAUUUUAGUGAGUGGCAAACGGGUGAGUAACACGUGGGAAUCUACCUAUCAGUACGGAAUAACAUUUGGAAACAGAUACUAAUACCGUAUAUUCUCCAAGGAGGAAAGAUUUAUCGCUGAUAGAUGAGCCCGCGUAAGAUUAGGUAGUUGGUAGGGUAAUGGCCUACCAAGCCGACGAUCUUUAGCUGGUCUGAGAGGAUGAUCAGCCACACUGGGACUGAGACACGGCCCAGACUCCUACGGGAGGCAGCAGUGGGGAAUAUUGGACAAUGGGCGAAAGCCUGAUCCAGCAAUACCGCGUGAAUGAUGAAGGCCUUAGGGUUGUAAAAUUCUUUUAGUUGGAAAGAUAAUGACGGUACCAACAGAAAAAGCCCCGGCUAACUCCGUGCCAGCAGCCGCCGUAA